rnacentral:rRNA from 1 species
GACGAACGCUGGCGGCGUGCCUAAUACAUGCAGGUCGAGCGCAGGAAAUCGACGGAACCCUUCGGGGGGAAGUCGACGGAAUGAGCGGCGGACGGGUGAGUAACACGUAAAGAACCUGCCCUCAGGUCUGGGAUAACCACGAGAAAUCGGGGCUAAUACCGGAUGGGUCAUCGGACCGCAUGGUCCGAGGAUGAAAGGCGCUCCGGCGCCGCCUGGGGAUGGCUUUGCGGUGCAUUAGCUAGUUGGUGGGGUAAUGGCCCACCAAGGCGACGAGGCAUAGCCGACCUGAGAGGGUGAUCGGCCACACUGGGACUGAGACACGGCCCAGACUCCUACGGGAGGCAGCAGUAGGGAAUCUUCCACAAUGGACGAAAGUCUGAUGGAGCAACGCCGCGUGAACGAUGAAGGCCUUCGGGUCGUAAAGUUCUGUUGUAAGGGAAGAACAAGUGCCGCAGGCAAUGGCGGCACCUUGACGGUACCUUGCGAGAAAGCCACGGCUAACUACGUGCCAGCCGCCGCAGUAAGAC